UACAGAGGUCCCAAGCGUUGUUCGGAUUCACUGGGCGUAAAGGGUGCGUAGGCGGUCGGGUAAGUCUGAUGUGAAAUCUCACAGCUUAACUGUGAAACUGCAUUGGAUACUAUCCGGCUCGAGGAAUGGAGGGGAGACUGGAAUACUUGGUGUAGCCAGUGAAAUGCGUAGAUAUCAAGUGGAACACCAGUGGCCGAAGGCGAGUCUCUGGACAUUUCCUGACGCUGAGGCACGAAAGCCAGGGGAGCAAACGG
rnacentral:rRNA from 1 species